CAAUUAUGUACAAGACCCUUGUGGCCCUUCGGGGAUCAGGGUUACCAUCAUACAGUAUAAUCUACUCUGAAGUAUUUGUUUUGUGGCCCAGAUGUCAACAAUAUGGUCUCAGCUUUCAAUUGUCAAAAUAGUGAAUGUUUUUAGGCCAAAGGACUAAUCAGCUUUGUGGAUAUCAUUGCGUGAAGUUUGGUGCUGCAAACUGGUUUAUAUACAAUGUAAUCUGACUGAUUAAUGCAUGGUAUACGUACUUCACACCAUAGAGACUUCAGCUGAACAAAGAAGAUAGAAGUAUCUUCCCUGGCAGAUUUAUUUGGCAAGAUGCAACCUACAUUUAUAAUCCCUUGCAUCACACGUCCUUUGCAACUUUAAGAGGUGUGUUUUGCCUCUCAUAAUGUUUUUCAUUCGGUACGUAAUAAUGUGGAGUACUUCCAGUACAGUACACAUCCCAACAAAAAGAAAUAAUGUCUCUUUUUAG